rnacentral:sRNA from 1 species
GCGGCGGCCGCGCGGCGCGAUGGCGGCGGGGCUGGCGCGGCUUCUGUUGCUCCUCGGGCUCUCGGCCCGCGGGCCCGCGCCGGCAGGUGCAGCGAAGAUGAAGGUGGUGGAGGAGCCCAACUCGUUCGGGUGAGCAGCCUCGCGGGCUGGCGGCUCGGGCGGGGGACGGCUCGGGCCCGUUCCCCGUUGACCUUGCCGCUUCCCGUAGGGUGAACAACCCGUUCUUGCCCCAGGCCAGUCGCCUCCAGGCCAAGAGGGAUCCUUCACCCGUGUCUGGACCCGUGCAUCUCUUCCGACUCUCGGGCAAGUGCUUCAGCCUGGUGGAGUCCACGUGAGUGCAGGGUGGGUGCGAGGGUGGGCUGGGGCGCAGCCUGCGGACCCCCCCCUCAUGCCAUCUGUGUCCCCAGGUACAAGUAUGAGUUCUGCCCGUUCCACAACGUGACCCAGCACGAGCAGACCUUCCGCUGGAACGCCUACAGUGGGAUCCUCGGCAUCUGGCACGAGUGGGAGAUCGCCAACAACACCUUCACGGGCAUGUGGAUGAGGGACGGUGACGCCUGCCGUUCCCGGAGCCGGCAGAGCAAGGUGGGGCCUCAGACGGGAGCCCGGGAAGAGGGGCCCCAGUCUCCCCAACCCACCUACCCACGUUCCCUCCCCAGGUGGAGCUGGCGUGUGGAAAAAGCAACCGGCUGGCCCAUGUGUCCGAGCCGAGGACCUGCGUCUACGCGCUGACGUUCGAGACCCCCCUCGUCUGCCACCCCCACGCCUUGCUAGUGUACCCAACCCUGCCAGAGGCCCUGCAGCGGCAGUGGGACCAGGUAGAGCAGGACCUGGCCGAUGAGCUGAUCACCCCCCAGGUAAGCAUGCGCUCGGGGUGGCCCCUGGCGGGCCUGGCUGGGAGCUGGGUGCUGCCCCUGCAUCCUCCACCUUCAGGGCCAUGAGAAGUUGCUGAGGACACUUUUUGAGGAUGCUGGCUACUUAAAGACCCCAGAAGAAAACGAACCCACCCAGCUGGAGGGAGGUCCUGACAGCUUGGGGUUUGAGACCCUGGAAAACUGCAGGAAGGUACCGUAUUGGGGGGAGGUGGUGGCAUGCAGUAGCCCCCCACCACCUGGGCUUUCCCUUGAACUCUUUUUGUGGUAGGCUCAUAAAGAACUCUCAAAGGAGAUCAAAAGGCUGAAAGGUUUGCUCACCCAGCACGGCAUCCCCUACACGAGGCCCACAG